rnacentral:lncRNA from 1 species
GAAAUAUCAUUCAGGUCUAACGACGGGAUAAGUAUCCUCACCCCAAAUUAUAUUAAAAUCAUUUUAAUUACUAGCUACCUCUUCCCCUCCCCCUCAAAAGAAAUGACUCAUUAGAUUAAAAUUCUAUUUUGAAUACAAGGAUAUUUGCAUUGAGAUGGUUAGUGCUCUGCAGUGAACCAAGACUUCAGCCUGUACUUUACUCCAUUGUUUUUAAAAGGGGGUGGAGUGGAAAGAGAUGUUUUUGGAAAGUUUCCUUAAUUAUCUUUAUAUUAAAGGAAAUGCCUGGUUAUAUGGUCUCCCAAUAAAAGGCAGUGUGAAGAGGGAAUUGCAUAUUAUGGCGAGAUACUUUUUACAGAUGACUUAAUAAUGGACUUCAAUCAAAAUGGACACUGAGUCCCCAUCAUCGGCCUGAUGUUUAAUUGCCACAUGAUGCUGGAGUUCAGGCUCAGAGCCACAGAGCCUCUGAAUUCAACGCAAGCAACCUCAGUUCAGGCUACGGCUUCUAGAACAGAAGUGUUUAAAUCAAUCUUUCUGUGUUCAAGUAUUCACAGUAGAUUAUUUCAGGAGAUCAAGGGGAAAAUCCCCCUAAAAGAAUAACCCAGCAGUUUAAAAAGUUUUAAAAGUUUUUUUGAAUAGAACAUCUAUAUUUGGUUUGGGUUCUGGAAAUAGGAAGUAAGAACAGCCUCAUUAAAGGUGCAAAAUGAUUCUAAACUAAAUCUAAAAAUGAGGGUCAAGAUCAGAAAUACGGUUUGUAUGUUUUGUUUUUAAACCAAAAA